GGAGGACAGCGCGGCGCGGUGCCGCAGCCGGUCUCGAAAACCGGAGCCGGCCGAAAGGCCGCGGGUUCAACUCCUGGGUCCUCCGC
rnacentral:tRNA from 1 species